GAACGUGCCGGAGUUAAAGUGGCGGAAACUUAGUUUCCGUCUUUUGUCAAGUGCAAAUAGCUUGGAGAAUAAGGUGUGGGCAAGACUGGUGGCAGCCGCCGCGGUAACACCAGCGCCUCGAGUGGUACCCACGAAUAUUGGGCCUAAAGCGCCCGUAGCCGGACCAUUAAGUCCGCUGUGAAAUGUUGGGGCUCAACCCUAACGCGCGCAGUGGAUACUGUUGGUCUUGGGAAUGGGGGAGGGUCGGGGUACUUCCAGGUAGGGGUAAAAUCCGUUGAGCCCGGAAGGACCACCAGUGGCGAAGGCGCCGAUCCAAAACAUAUCCGACGGUGAGGGACGAAAGCUGGGGGAGCGAACGGGAUUAGAUACCCCGGUAGUCCCAGCUGUAAAUGAUGCAGACUUGGUGUUGCUCAUGAGUAAUCAUGGGCAGUGCUGUAGCGUAGGUGUUAAGUCUGCCGCCUGGGGAGUACGAUCGCAAGAUUGAAACUUAAAGGAAUUGGCGGGGGAGCACCACAAGCCGUGGAUGCUACGGUUUAAUUGGAUACAACGCCGGAAAUAUCACCAAGCGCGACGGCAGUAUGAAGGCCAGACUAGAGAUCUUGCCUGAUGAGCCGAGAGGUAUUGCAUGGCCAUCGUCAGCUCGUGGUGUGAACUGUCCUGUUAAGUCAGGCAACGAGCGAGACCCAUGCCAUUAGUUACUAAUUUUCUUCUCCGGAAGAGAUGGAACUCUAAUGGGACUGCCCGUGCUAAAUGGGAGGAAGGAGUGGGCAACGGUAGGUCAGUAUGAUCCGAAACGCUUGGGCUACACGCGGCAUACAGUGGAUGGAACCUGGGCUGCGACUCCGAAAGGAGGAGCCAAUCCUCUAAAUCCAUCCGUGGUUCGGAUCGAGGUUACAACUCACCCUCGUGAAGAUGGAAUGGCUUAAAUCGC
rnacentral:rRNA from 1 species